rnacentral:rRNA from 1 species
CCCGCUGAACUUAAGCAUAUCAGUAAGCGGAGGAAGAGAAACUAACAAGAAUUCCCCCAGUAACGGCGAGUGAAGCGGGAACAGUCCAAAUUUUAAAUCUGGGACCAGCGCAGGUCUCCGAAUUGUAGUUUACAGACGCGGGUCGUGGCUGGUGCGUUGCCGUGCAAGUCUCCUGGAACGGGGCAUCGCGGAGGGUGAGAAUCCCGUGGGACGGUGGCGCACUGGUCGACUGGGCCGUGUCGACGAGUCGGGUUGUUUGGGAAUGCAGCUCAAAACGGGUGGUAAAUUCCAUCCAAGACUAAAUAUUGGCAAGAGACCGAUAGCGAACAAGUACUGUGAAGGAAAGAUGAAAAGCACCUUGAAAAGGGAGUUAAAUAGUGCGUGAAAUUGUUAAAAGGGAAACGAUUGGCGCCAGUAUCGCCGCGUCGGUGGAGCAGUCGACGCAUUGUCGUCUGUGCAUCUGGCGCGCGAGUCAGCGGCGGUCUGCGAUUGCGCACAACCCCCGCGGAAAGAUGACGCCUCGGCGUUUUACAGUCCCGGCGGGUGCGUCACGACAGACCGCGUGAUCCGCUAUUCCCUGCGUUGCACCGUUGCCCCAAGCACAUGCAGACAGCACGCUGACUGCGCGUGUGCAAGGCCCCUGUGCUCGCAGCACGCGGUGACGCUGACGAAAUGGCGUCAAACGACCCGUCUUGAAACACGG